UACACAGCUGCCGAGGACAAGCUUCUUUGCGAGUGUUGGCGAGACAUUGGACAAGACCCAAAGACGGGCGCCGAGCAAAAGCAUUCAACCUUUUGGACUCGUGUGCACCGCGAGUUUCAUGAGCGCAAGAAGUUUCCACCCUAUCAAUUUGUGAGCACGCGCGGGUGGGUCUCCAUUUCCAAGCGGUGGAGGGUGAUCCAACAAGAGUGCAACAAGUUUUGCGCCACCCUUGAGAGCGUCAAGGCCCGCCCCGUGAGCGGCAUCGGCGUGCAAGACAUGGCAUUUCAAGCUUUGGAGGCAUUCAAGGUUCAACACAAUGGCAAGUGCUUCAACCUCUCCCAUUGCUAUCGGGUCAUCAAG
rnacentral:rRNA from 1 species